UACGUAGGGACCAAGCGUUGUUCGGAUUUACUGGGCGUAAAGGGCGCGUAGGCGGCAAUUCAAGUCAUCUGUGAAAUCUCCGGGCUUAACCCGGAACGGUCAGGUGAUACUGUUUUGCUAGAGUGCGGAAGGGGCAAUCGGAAUUCUCGGUGUAGCGGUGAAAUGCGUAGAUAUCGAGAGGAACACCAGUGGCGAAGGCGGCUACCUGGCAUGAUACUGACACUGAGGCGCGAGAGCGUGGGGAGCAAACAGG
rnacentral:rRNA from 1 species